UCAGUUCAGAUCGUAGGCUGCAACUCGCCUACGUGAAGGAGGAAUCGCUAGUAAUCGCAGGUCAGCAUACUGCGGUGAAUACGUUCCCGGGCCUUGUACACACCGCCCGUCACACCAUAGAAGUUGGCCACGCCCGAAGCCGUUACUCCAACCCUCGGGAGGAGGACGUCGAAGGUGGGGCUGAUGACUGGGGUGAAGUCGUAACAAGGUAUCCGUACCGGAAGGUGCGGAUGGAUCACCUCCUAA
rnacentral:rRNA from 1 species